rnacentral:lncRNA from 10 species
GUUCGAAACCCCCUCCCUAACUCAGCCCGGCUGGACCCCGCUGCUUAACGGGGGGUCCUGCGGCAAAGAAAGUGGACGGGUUGCCACUUCUGUGCCUCCCCAUCAGGUAGCCUGGGCUAUAAGGGGCUCUCAGACCAGCUUGGUUCCAGAUGUGUGUGUGGCGGGAGUCCUGUAUACUUUGAAGAGGAGAGCAGCAAGAAGCCUCUAACUCCCAGGCCAGCGUGCAGGAGAUCAGCCGGCGUUACAGUCUACACUGGGCUACCCACUGUCCCAUGAAGUAGCAGUUCUCCCCAUGUCGUAGAGUGGGGCCCCGGCAGAUUAAGAAACUUUCCUAAGAGCCCACAGCUGGCAAGAGGCAGAAUUCUGGCUCCGAAACCCAUGUUUUCUACAGGUUUACCCUUUGUUGAUUUGCAAGGGUUGGGAAACUAGUUUCCAUGGCCAAACCUAGCCCACCGUCUGUUUUGGUGUCCAUGGAUUGGCGGGGACAGCUCUGCUUAAGGAUGUAGUAGCUCUGCAGGUUGGCUAGUUUCCUGUUCUUCCCAACCUGCGCUAUGGACUUCAUCAGAUUUCAGCAUCAGAGAGAAUAUGGAAGGACAUCGACCCUAACUUCAUCCAGUGAGGAUUUCCACACACCAUACACUCUCUGAGAGUUCUCUUGGCUUUGUGUGCACACCUCCAGUGACAGGGAGCUCGCUAUGUCAUGAGGCAGCCUGCUCCCUUGUGGCUAUCACUGAACCAACUAUUAAGCCUUCUUAUACAAACAGUCCCUGACUUACUGUUAGACUUACAACUUUUUGAUUUUACAGUGGUGCAAAAGCAAUAUGCAUUCCAUAGAAACUGUAUUUCAAAUUUUGAAUUUUGAUCUUUUCCAGGCUAGCAACAUAUGAAGACCAACCUUCUAUUUUUAAAAUAGGCUUUGUGUUAGAUGCUUUUGCCCAACUAUAGGUUAAUGUAAAUGUUCUGAGAAUAUUUGAGGAAGGCUAGGCUAAACUGUGAUCUUUGGGAGCUUAGAUAUGUUAAGUGCAUUUUCAACUUACAAUAUUUUCAACUUACGAUGAGUUUAUUGGGAUGAAGCCCGUUGUAAGUAAAGGAGCAUCUGCAUUAAGCUAAAAUCCAUGUCUAUAACUUCCUCAGUAAUAUCAAGUUUGUUCCUUGGAGCCAGAGAAUAAACUGAAUCCUUUUCCA